rnacentral:misc_RNA from 1 species
UCAGGUACGAGAGAGAGAGAGAGAGAGAAAUUCAAGAAACUGCAAUCAACACAUUUAAGAAUCAAACAACAAGAAUCAGAAACAUAAAAGCUAGAUAUUCCGAGACUAGUAGGAUCAAGAAGACAAAAAUAUGAUGAGAAUCAAAGAAAACAGACAAGAAGAGCAAGUAGAACGAGUAUAUGUACAUAGAUAGCUAGCCAGAGAGACUCCUUUGGAAGGCUAGCUAGCUAUUAGCCUAAACCAAGAAGAUAAAAUGCAGCGGCUGUCUUUCUCUAAGCUUUGUUUGGAU